CCUGUUUAACAAAAACAUGUCUUUUUGAGUUAUUUUUAAAGUCUGACCUGCCCACUGAAUUUUUAAAUGGCCGCAGUAUUUUAACUGUGCAAAGGUAGCAUAAUCAUUAGUCUUUUAAUUGGAGGCUGGUAUGAACGGUUGGACGAGGUAUAUACUGUUUCAUAUAAAUUUAUGUUAGAAUUUUAUUUUUUAGUCAAAAAGCUAAAAUAAUAUUAAAAGACGAGAAGACCCUAUAAAUCUUUAUAUUUAAUAUAAUUUAAGUUUUUUGGGAUUAUUUUAUUUUUAUUAUGUUAAUUAUUUUGUUGGGGUGAUGUUAAAAUUUAAAGAACUUUUAAUUGUUUUAGACCAUUUAUUUAUGAAUUGUUGAUCCAUUAUUAUUGAUUAUAAGAUUAAGUUACUUUAGGGAUAACAGCGUAAUUUUUUUGGAGAGUUCAUAUCGAUAAAAAAGGUUGCGACCUCGAUGUUGGAUUAAGAUAUAAUUUUAGGUGUAGCUGCUUAAAU
rnacentral:rRNA from 1 species